AGCAAACACAGCAGCGAGGGAGCUCCGCUGCCGGGGCAGCGCAGGACUUCGCCUCGCUGCCACCCUCUCUGUAAGAUGGGUGCCUGAAUUUACCUUAGGUACCUCGGCAGCGGGUCUGACUCCACCCCAAAGCAUUCAGGGCCUAUGGAGUCCGGGAUACAAGAAGAGGCAGUUUCCAGGUGGGAACUGGAAGAGUGAGCAGAGACGGGAAGAGUCUCACUUGGGCAUUUCUGAACUUCGACAUGACAGGUCUUACCCUCCAGGUCAGCAGAGCAGCAGCAUGAUACAUACACAGGCAAGGCUGAAACCCAUCUCUGCACGGAGUACCUGAGCAAGCUACGUGUUUUUUCUACCUCAGCUCCCAUGUACCACUGGAGAAAAUAUGACUUUGUUUCUUCUCCUGCUUUGUUGAUCUUGUCUAGUAAGAGUCCUUUGUUGGACAGUGUCUCUUUCAAAAUGUUUCUACAAAAACUCUUCUAUGCUCUGAUGCAGCUUUUACCA